CCCUUAGAGUUUGAUCCUGGCUCAGGAUGAACGCUAGCUACAGGCUUAACACAUGCAAGUCGAGGGGAAACGACAUCGAAAGCUUGCUUUUGAUGGGCGUCGACCGGCGCACGGGUGAGUAACGCGUAUCCAACCUGCCCACCACUUGGGGAUAACCUUGCGAAAGUAAGACUAAUACCCAAUGAUAUCUCUAGAAGGCAUCAGAAAGAGAUUAAAGAUUUAUCGGUGAUGGACGGGGAUGCGUCUGAUUAGCUUGUUGGCGGGGUAACGGCCCACCAAGGCGACAAUCAGUAGGGGUUCUGAGAGGAAGGUCCCCCACAUUGGAACUGAGACACGGUCCAAACUCCUACGGGAGGCAGCAGUGAGGAAUAUUGGUCAAUGGGCGAGAGCCUGAACCAGCCAAGUAGCGUGCAGGAUGACGGCCCUAUGGGUUGUAAACUGCUUUUAUAAGGGAAUAAAGUGAGUCUCGUGAGACUUUUUGCAUGUACCUUAUGAAUAAGGACCGGCUAAUUCCGUGCCAGCAGCCGCGGUAAUACGGAAGGUCCGGGCGUUAUCCGGAUUUAUUGGGUUUAAAGGGAGCGUAGGCCGGAGAUUAAGCGUGUUGUGAAAUGUAGAUGCUCAACAUCUGCACUGCAGCGCGAACUGGUUUCCUUGAGUACGCACAAAGUGGGCGGAAUUCGUGGUGUAGCGGUGAAAUGCUUAGAUAUCACGAAGAACUCCGAUUGCGAAGGCAGCUCACUGGAGCGCAACUGACGCUGAAGCUCGAAAGUGCGGGUAUCGAACAGGAUUAGAUACCCUGGUAGUCCGCACGGUAAACGAUGGAUGCCCGCUGUUGGUCUGAAUAGGUCAGCGGCCAAGCGAAAGCAUUAAGCAUCCCACCUGGGGAGUACGCCGGCAACGGUGAAACUCAGAAGGAAUUGACGG
rnacentral:rRNA from 1 species